GUGUUUCAAGUUUCCAUGAUGUGUUCAGGCAAGCUACCUAUUUAUCAAGAUGUACCACACAAUUUGUGAGUCUUUAAGUCUGUGUACUUUAUGCCUCUUUAAAUCUGCAGCCAUUUUUAUGUACGGUCUACACUAGUAGCCUGAGUCUCAACUCAUAAUCACAGACAACUUGAAAAGUACUUAAUAUUCUGCUGUAAUUUGACUGUGUGUGUUUGUGUGUGUGCGCAUGGAUGUGUGCGUGUGUCUACGUAAUAAUUUGUGUAUGGAUGAAUGUGGAUGGAUGUUUGCCUCUAUACGUGUGUGUCUGUGUGUGUGUGUGUCUGUGUGGGUGUGUGUGUGUGUGUGUGUGUCAGGCGGACUCCUCUGAGUGUCUGCGUCAGUGUGGCCUUUCUCAGCUCUUCAGUGUCCCAGUGCUGGUUACACGCACACGUGUCGGCCCUGUGGUGGCCCUGCCCACUCCCAUAGCCAUCCCCCGCUGGAAACUCAUCCGUCCACGCCGGCAACACCUACCCACUGACGAGCCUAAAGUGCCUCCUGUAGUGAAGCCAGAGGAGUUCAUAGAGGUUGUCAGUCCCUUUUUAAACUUUCGACUGAAGACCUUGGCAACAGAGAUGCGCAAGAAGCAAACUUAUAACUCCGCCUUGGCAUCGUUUACGGAACAGGACGAGAGUGAACGGGAGAUCAUCACUGACAGCCUCCAGUCGGAGCAGGCAGAUGCCGGGGAGCCUGCCGAGGUUACAGCAGAGGACAAGAAAAAGGACGAGAUACCACCCUCUGACCAGACGGCGAGUGACACCCAGUCCACACCAGUGGCCACCCCCCCGCCUGUGUGUCCGUCUGAGAAGCCUUUGCUGCAGGACACCUGGGUGCCUCUGGAACACUUCACCAACUGCUUUCAGUAAGGCCUCCUUCCCAGUCACACUACACUCUAUUAGAAAGCACACACACUGCACAGUGAUCACAACACACUACACUCUAUUAGAAAGCACACACACUGCACAGUGAUCACAACACACUACACUCCAUCAGAAAGC
rnacentral:lncRNA from 1 species